GGAUGUGAGGGCGAUCUGGCUGUGACGUCUGUCACCCCCCUGAUCGCCAGGGUUGACUCGCUGAUCUGGCUGGCUGGGCGGGUGUCCCCUCCUCCCUCACCGCUCCAUGUGCCUCCGGUCGAAGAGGACGACCUUCUCCAAUAGAGGAGGACCAGUCUUCAGUCGAGGGUAUGCAGGUAGCUGUGAGCUCCCUUGCUAGAACCUCCAAACACACUCUCAAGAAAUAGAACAUUAGCAAUGUCUUUGAAAGGCCCCUUUACCCAAUAUACUUCUUAAUAAAAUUA
rnacentral:snRNA from 1 species